rnacentral:lncRNA from 1 species
CUUGCUGAUGCAGAUGGGGUGAAAAGGAAAUGGCCUCUCUUGAAUAUGAAAGCCAUUUUUCCCAUAACCAUCACAAUGUAUUUGUCCGCACAAAUACGGGUAGGGGCCCUCCAGGGCUUUGAAGAGUUCACAACUUUUGCCUUCUUCAGUUCCAGGUCGAAGAUCCGCAGCUUGGCACUGGGAACGCCUCAGCAGAAAAAAAAGCAGCUGAAUUGAGACAACCAAAACUGAUAAACUGGUGCUGCCCUGGGAGCCCUGCACCUGCAGCUGAGUCUAGCGCUGUUGGCGAAGCCCCGCCUCCUGCCUGGAUAGGGCUGGCAGCAAUCCAGGGGCAGCUUGAUUGGUACACGAGACUCUUAAAGGAGCACCAGCUGCCUCUCAGCCUCUCGCUACAAAACCUCUGUGCCCAUGAGAAGUGGAUUCAACAGGAAGCAAGGUGCCGCUCCCUUGAAAUUAAAAUUUUGUCUCUUUUAAAUAUAUAAACGUGUAUAGCCACUGCACCUUUA